rnacentral:rRNA from 1 species
AACGAACGCUGGCGGCAGGCUUAACACAUGCAAGUCGAACGGGCCCUUCGGGGUCAGUGGCAGACGGGUGAGUAACGCGUGGGAACGUGCCCUUCAGUUCGGGAUAACCCAGGGAAACUUGGGCUAAUACCGGAUACGUGCGAGAGCAGAAAGAUUUAUCGCUGAAGGAUCGGCCCGCGUCUGAUUAGCUGGUUGGUAGGGUAAUGGCCUACCAAGGCGACGAUCAGUAGCUGGUCUGAGAGGAUGAUCAGCCACAUUGGGACUGAGACACGGCCCAAACUCCUACGGGAGGCAGCAGUGGGGAAUAUUGGACAAUGGGCGCAAGCCUGAUCCAGCCAUGCCGCGUGAGUGAUGAAGGCCUUAGGGUUGUAAAGCUCUUUCGGCGGGGACGAUAAUGACGGUACCCGCAGAAGAAGCCCCGGCUAACUUCGUGCCAGCCGCCGCCGUAAGAC